rnacentral:rRNA from 1 species
AACGCGAAGAACCUUACCUACCCUUGACAUGUACGGAACCCUUCAGAGAUGAGGGGGUGCUCGAAAGAGAACCGUAACACAGGUGCUGCAUGGCUGUCGUCAGCUCGUGUCGUGAGAUGUUGGGUUAAGUCCCGCAACGAGCGCAACCCUUGUCAUUAGUUGCUACGAAAGGGCACUCUAAUGAGACUGCCGGUGACAAACCGGAGGAAGGUGGGGAUGACGUCAAGUCCUCAUGGCCCUUAUGGGUAGGGCUUCACACGUCAUACAAUGGUACAUACAGAGGGCCGCCAACCCGCGAGGGGGAGCUAAUCCCAGAAAGUGUAUCGUAGUCCGGAUUGUAGUCUGCAACUCGACUACAUGAAGUUGGAAUCGCUAGUAAUCGCGGAUCAGCAUGUCGCGGUGAAUACGUUCCCGGGCCUUGUA